GACCCAGCGGCGAAAUUGGUAUCGCGUCCACACUUCAUAGGUGAUGGAGGUCCCUGGUUCGACUCCAGGUUAGGUCA